UGAAAUGGUUUCAUCAGCCAAGUUCUGACAGCAAAUGCGUCAUUGGCUACAAAAUGAUUAUCUUAUAUAGCGUGGCAUCAAGUGGGACAAAGCAUGGUGUUCAGCGGGACAAAGCAGGUCGGACUGGCACGCCGAACUGUGCGGACUGCAGGGCUCAAAUUCGUGCAAGUGUCAAGGUGGCUUAAGGGUAGGCAAUUAUUUUCAAUAGCUAGUAGAGUGACAGAUUCAUUAAGUAGUUGCAGAAGAAAUGGGUUGAAAAAGGAUGAAGUCACUUUUGCUAGACCGGUCAUUCUUUCUUGAACAGUACUCUCUUCCUCCUAGGAAAGCAUCAGGAUGGAGUAUGUUUGGAAUGUCAACAGCCAGAGACAGUGCAGCAUGUCCUCAUGCACUGUAAUAAAUAAGAACAGGCCUGAAAGAAGUUUCUGUAGGAAGCAUUUUAGACAUAGGGUCAAUUGGUAGGGGGAAAUGUUGGCUUUUUAAAUACUUU